UAUGGAGAGAUUAAAGUUUUAUUUAUUCUAUAUCGUAUAUCAGAUUUCUUUAAGUUUAGUUUAGUCUUACCUUGCUAAACAUGUCAGUGUUUUUAGUAAAUUUCCUCGCGUCAAUUGGUUACAAUUUCUUACUUCCUGUCUUAUUACUUUUAUGAUUUCGUCCACGGCGGCCGGCGUCGAGCGAAGCCGCACUGGGAGUGUAUGCUUUGGUUCUGUAGCAGUAGCAGGACAGAGGGACAACGGUGGGGGAUGGGGUCUCUAAUGUGUCAUGCUCAACCCCGAUUCGUCUAAAAAAGGGCACAAGUCAGCAGCCAACUGCCUCCGCGUUGAGGAGCAGUGCCAUCUUCUCAACUCAUCUGCGCCCAUGGUGAUGAACUCCACCGCUGACCACCAUCUAAAGAUGCCCGUGGCGCCGGCCACAUCAUCUGAGGUUGCAGUUAUCCAACUUCCUGCUAUAUAUAUUUGGACUUUAUGUAAACCUCAAAGAAAUCAUGGUCUUUCUACCAGUGGAUGUAAUAUGCUU